rnacentral:rRNA from 1 species
CCUACGGGUGGCAGCAGUGGGGAAUAUUGCACAAUGGGGGAAACCCUUAUGCAGCGACGCCGCGUGAGCGAUGAAGUAUUUCGGUUUGUAAACCUCUGUCAGCGGGGAAGAUAAUGACGGUACCUGAGUAAGAAGCCCCGGCUAACUACGUGCCAGCAGCCGCGGUAAUACGUAGGGGGCAAGCGUUAUCCGGAUUUACUGGGUGUAAAGGGAGCGUAGACGGCGGGGCAAGUCAGAUGUGAAAGCCAGGGGCUCAACCCCGAGACUGCAUUUGGAACUGUGAUGCUAUAGUGUCGGAGAGGCAGGCGGAAUUCCGAGUGUAGCGGUGAAAUGCGUAGAUAUUAGGAGGAACACCAGUGGCGAAGGCGGCUUGCUGGACUAUGACUGACGUUGAGGCUCGAAAGCGUGGGGAGCAAACAGGAUUAGAUACCCGUGUAGUC